rnacentral:rRNA from 1 species
UACGUAGGGGGCAAGCGUUGUCCGGAAUUAUUGGACGUAAAGAGCGCGUAGGCGGUCCGAUAAGUCGGCUGUGAAAGUCAGGGGCUCAACCCUUGGAAGCCGGCCGAUACUGUCGGACUAGAGUCCGGAAGAGGCGAGUGGAAUUCCCGGUGUAGCGGUGAAAUGCGCAGAUAUCGGGAGGAACACCAAUGGCGAAGGCAGCUCGCUGGGACGGUACUGACGCUGAGGCGCGAAAGCGUGGGGAGCAAACAGG